GGGGUGCAGAAAGAAAGUCCGUGUAAUUAAACACAUGGUGUCCAAAAGGGCCUUUGCAGUUUGAACAAUAUGCCUGGGCCACAGUCCAGUCCAAUGUGGGCUGGGUGCUCUGACAAUAACCACACUAGGGUUUAGCUUUUUCCUCACACGCUGCCUAAACCCCUAAUCAGUGGGUUCCAUUUUCGCACGGAGCAAAACCAAAAACACGGUGUGGCGCUGCGGAUCUCUCUCUCGGUCGUUGCUCUCCGCCGCGAGAACCACUCCAAAUCGUUCCUCCAUUUCUCUCCUUCACUGUCCUUCUUCGCCUUCCCUACGCUCUCAUCUUCUCCACCCUCGCCGUCCCCUCAUUACACUCCUUAGGACUGUGGGAAUUCUCGGGUGCACGUAGUCGCUGAUUCCUCUACACAGCGCUGACGCCUCCGCUCGUCUCACUUCUCACAUUUCCAUCGAAUCGCGCGCUUGCUGCAAAUUCUCGCAGGGUACUUGUUCCUUCUAAAUUUCUAUCUCUCUUGCCCUAAUUAGGCAUGCUUUCUGUCAUUAUGAUGUAUUUUCAUUAUUAUAUUUAUUUUAAAUGUUUUUGUGUGUUUAACUGGUACUUGAAUAGACUUUACAAUCAGCAUCAGUUGUGAUUUUACGUUUGGCUCGAUGUGAAAAUUGUGGCUAAUGCUUUGUAGCAGGAGGCCUGUGGAGGAGGUUUUGUUGUGUAUUUGAUAAUGAUAAAUGUUAUAUGCAGUUGUGAUUAUAAGUGUUUUAUCAUUUUUAUAAAAGAGAAAUAAGUAUAUGUAUUCUUCUGUUAGAAACUUUUCAGGCUAAUUGAACGGCAUCGACGUUGUUUUACUUUGUAUCAGAUAGUAAUAACAAUAACAGUGUUCAAGACUUAAAUUUAUGUUAAAAUUAAGUGUUGUAUAGGUGAUAGCUGGUAGCAUGGAUGCUCUUUCGUUUAA